GCAGUGGGGAAUAUUGCACAAUGGGCGCAAGCCUGAUGCAGCCAUGCCGCGUGUGUGAAGAAGGCCUUCGGGUUGUAAAGCACUUUCAGUCGUGAGGAAGGUGGUAGUGUUAAUAGCACUAUCAUUUGACGUUAGCGACAGAAGAAGCACCGGCUAACUCCGUGCCAGCAGCCGCGGUAAUACGGAGGGUGCGAGCGUUAAUCGGAAUUACUGGGCGUAAAGCGCAUGCAGGUGGUUUGUUAAGUCAGAUGUGAAAGCCCGGGGCUCAACCUCGGAACUGCAUUUGAAACUGGCAGACUAGAGUACUGUAGAGGGGGGUAGAAUUUCAGGUGUAGCGGUGAAAUGCGUAGAGAUCUGAAGGAAUACCGGUGGCGAAGGCGGCCCCCUGGACAGAUACUGACACUCAGAUGCGAAAGCGUGGGGAGCAAACAGGAUUAGAUACCCUGGUAGUCCACGCUGUAAACGAUGUCUACUUGGAGGUUGUGGCCUUGAGCCGUGGCUUUCGGAGCUAACGCGUUAAGUAGACCG
rnacentral:rRNA from 1 species